rnacentral:rRNA from 1 species
AGUGAACGCUGGCGGUAGGCCUAACACAUGCAAGUCGAACGGCAGCACAGUAAGAGCUUGCUCUUACGGGUGGCGAGUGGCGGACGGGUGAGGAAUACAUCGGAAUCUACUUUUUCGUGGGGGAUAACGUAGGGAAACUUACGCUAAUACCGCAUACGACCUACGGGUGAAAGCAGGGGAUCUUCGGACCUUGCGCGAUUGAAUGAGCCGAUGUCGGAUUAGCUAGUUGGCGGGGUAAAGGCCCACCAAGGCGACGAUCCGUAGCUGGUCUGAGAGGAUGAUCCGCCAGACUGGAACUGAGAAACGGUCCAGACUCCUACGGGAGGCAGCAGUGGGGAAUAUUGGGCAAUGGGCGCAAGCCUGAUCCAGCCAUACCGCGUGGGUGAAGAAGGCCUUCGGGUUGUAAAGCCCUUUUGUUGGGAAAGAAAAGCAGCAGGUUAAUACCCCGCUGUUCUGACGGUACCCAAAGAAUAAGCACCGGCUAACUUCGUG